rnacentral:rRNA from 1 species
AGAGUUUGAUCAUGGCUCAGGAUGAACGCUAGCGGCAGGCCUAACACAUGCAAGUCGUGGGGUAACAGGGUAGCAAUAUCGCUGACGACCGGCGCACGGGUGAGUAAGGCAUAUGCAACCUUCCUCUGACUGGGGGAUAGCUUCCGGAAACGGAAAUUAAUACCGCAUAACAUUCCGACAGGGCAUCCUGAUGGAAUUAAAGCUCCGGCGGUCAGAGAUGGGCAUAUGUGCCAUUAGCUUGUUGGUGAGGUAAUAGCUCACCAAGGCUACGAUGGCUAGGGGGUCUGAGAGGAUGAUCCCCCACACUGGUACUGAGACACGGACCAGACUCCUACGGGAGGCAGCAGUGAGGAAUAUUGGGCAAUGGGCGCAAGCCUGACCCAGCCAUGCCGCGUGAAGGAUGAAUGCCCUAUGGGUUGUAAACUUCUUUUGUACGGGACGAAACUUCUGGACGUGUCCGGGAUUGACGGUACCGUACGAAUAAGCAUCGGCUAACUCCGUGCCAGCAGCCGCGGUAAUACGGAGGAUGCAAGCGUUAUCCGGAUUUAUUGGGUUUAAAGGGUGCGUAGGCGGGACAGUAAGUCAGUGGUGAAAGCCUGCGGCUUAACCGUAGAAUUGCCAUUGAUACUGCUGUUCUUGAGUACAGUUGAGGUGGGCGGAAUGUGUAAUAGCGGUGAAAUGCUUAGAUAUUACACAGAACACCGAUUGCGAAGGCAGCUCACUAAGCUGUUACUGACGCUGAGGCACGAAAGCGUGGGGAGCAAACAGGAUUAGAUACCCUAGUAGUCC